AACGGCCAUAUCAGGUUGAAAUACUGAUUCCCGUACGAUCACCGAAGUUAAGCAACGUCAAACUUGGUCAGUACCUAGAUAGGUGACCGCUUGGGAAUACCACAGGUGCUGUAA
rnacentral:rRNA from 1 species